UACGUAGGGCGCAAGCGUUAUCCGGAAUUAUUGGGCGUAAAGCGCGCGUAGGCGGCUUUGUAAGUUAGAGGUGAAAGCCCGGGGCUCAACUCCGGAAUUGCCUUUAAGACUGCAUCGCUAGAAUUGUGGAGAGGUAAGUGGAAUUCCGAGUGUAGAGGUGGAAUUCGUAGAUAUUCGGAAGAACACCAGUGGCGAAGGCGACUUACUGGACACAUAUUGACGCUGAGGUGCGAAAGCGUGGGGAGCAAACAGG
rnacentral:rRNA from 1 species